UACGUAGGGGGCAAGCGUUGUCCGGAUUUAUUGGGCGUAAAGAGCGUGUAGGCGGUUUGGUAGGUCCGUUGUGAAAACUCGAGGCUCAACCUCGAGACGCCGAUGGAAACCAUCUGACUAGAGUCCGGAAGAGGAGAGUGGAAUUCCUGGUGUAGCGGUGAAAUGCGCAGAUAUCAGGAGGAACACCGGUGGCGAAGGCGGGUCUCUGGGCCGAUACUGACGCUGAGGAGCGAAAGCGUGGGGAGCGAACAGG
rnacentral:rRNA from 1 species